rnacentral:misc_RNA from 1 species
UCUAAAAAUAAUUGUUGAAUAUCUGCAUAUCCAAAAAAUUCCAACAUCAAGCAACGGAAAAUGCAUGUUGCAAGUAAAUUACACGGACAUAAAGAAUAAGCAAAAAGAAAUAAAUAAGAAAAUGUUGAAACAAUAAUCCAAACCACGUUGGUGAGAAAUCAAUCUCAGAACUUAUGAAAUGUGUGUCUAUGUAUCCUAUUUUAUGUCAUCCUCAAGCAACGGAAAAUGCAUGUUGCAAGUAAAUUACACGGACAUAAAGAAUAAGCAAAAAGAAAUAAAUAAGAAAAUGUUGAAACAAUAAUCCAAACCACGUUGGUGAGAAAUCAAUCUCAGAACUUAUGAAAUGUGUGUCUAUGUAUCCUAUUUUAUGUCAUCC